rnacentral:rRNA from 1 species
GGGGGAUAACUAUUGGAAACGAUAGCUAAUACCGCAUGACACUAAAGUACACAUGUACUCAAGUUAAAAGGAGCAAUUGCUUCACUAUGAGAUGGACCUGCGUUGUAUUAGCUAGUUGGUGAGGUAAAGGCUCACCAAGGCGACGAUACAUAGCCGACCUGAGAGGGUGAUCGGCCACACUGGGACUGAGACACGGCCCAUACUCCUACGGGAGGCAGCAGUAGGGAAUCUUCGGCAAUGGACGGAAGUCUGACCGAGCAACGCCGCGUGAGUGAAGAAGGUUUUCGGAUCGUAAAGCUCUGUUGUUAGAGAAGAACGGUAAUGGGAGUGGAAAAUCCAUUACGUGACGGUGACUAACCAGAAAGGGACGGCUAACUACGUGCCAGCAGCCGCGGUAA